ACAUGUCUAUAUGAUUGUUAUAUAAAGUCUAGCCUGCCCACUGAUUUGUUUUAAAGGGCCGCGGUAUAUUGACCGUGCGAAGGUAGCAUAAUCAUUAGUCUUUUAAUUGGAGGCUUGUAUGAAUGGUUGGACAAAAAGUAAGCUGUCUCGGUUAUAAUAAUUGAACUUAACUUUUAAGUGAAAAGGCUUAAAUGUUUCAGGGGGACGAUAAGACCCUAUAAAGCUUGACAAUAAUUUCGUUAUAUUAUAAAUUGUUAGUAUAACUUGAUUUUAACGGGAGUUUGUUUCGUUGGGGCGACGGGAAUAUAAUAAAUAACUGUUCUUUUAAAUAUAAUUACAAAAAUACUUGGUAAAUAAUUGAUCCUCUAUUAGAGAUUAAAAGAUUAAGUUACUUUAGGGAUAACAGCGUAAUCUUCUUUGAGAGUCCACAUCGACAAGAAGGUUUGCGACCUCGAUGUUGAAUUAAGGUAUCCUUAUAAUGCAGCAGUUAUAAAGGAGGGUCUGUUCGACCUUUAAAUCCUUACAUGAUCUGA
rnacentral:rRNA from 1 species